AUUGAACGCUGGCGGCAGGCCUAACACAUGCAAGUCGAACGAGUGGCGGACGGGUGAGUAAUGUCUGGGAAACUGCCCGAUGGAGGGGGAUAACUACUGGAAACGGUAGCUAAUACCGCAUACCAUCGGAUGUGCCCAUAUGGGAUUAGCUAGUAGGUGGGGUAACGGCUCACCUAGGCGACGAUCCCUAGCUGGUCUGAGAGGAUGACCAGCCACACUGGAACUGAGACACGGUCCAGACUCCUACGGGAGGCAGCAGUGGGGAAUAUUGGACAAUGGGCGCAAGCCUGAUCCAGCCAUGCCGCGUGGGUGAAGAAGGCCUUAGGGUUGUAAAGCCCUUUUAGUGGGAAAGCGGUACCCGAAGAAGAAGCACCGGCUAACUCCGUGCCAGCAGCCGCGGUAAUAC
rnacentral:rRNA from 1 species